CCUACGGGAGGCAGCAGUGAGGAAUAUUGGUCAAUGGGCGCGAGCCUGAACCAGCCAAGUCGCGUGAGGGAAGACGGUCCUAUGGAUUGUAAACCUCUUUUGUCGGGGAGCAAAAGACGCCACGCGUGUCGUUCCGAGUGUACCCUAAGAACAAGCAUCGGCAAACCCCGUGCCAGCAGCCGCGGUAAUACGGGGGAUGCGAGCGUUAUCCGGAUUUAUUGGGUUAAAGGGGUGCGCAGGCGGAAGAUCAAGUCAGCGGUAAAAUUGAGAGGCUCAACCUCUUCGAGCCGUUGAAACUGGUGGUCUGGAGUGAGUGAGAGGUAUGCGGAAUGCGUGGUGUAGCGGUGAAAUGCAUAGAUAUCACGCAGAACUCCGAUUGCGAAGGCAGCAUACCGGCGCGCAACUGACGCUCAUGCACGAAAGUGUGGGUAUCGAACAGGAUUAGAUACCCUUGUAGUC
rnacentral:rRNA from 1 species